GACGAAGGGGGCUAGCGUUGUUCGGAAUUACUGGGCGUAAAGCGAGUGUAGGUGGUUGUCCAAGUUGGAUGUGAAAGCCUUGAGCCUGCAACUCAAGAAAUGCAUUCAGGACUGGGCGGCUAGAGGACCGGAGAGGAUAGUGGAAUUCCCAGUGUAGCGGUGAAAUGCGUAGAUAUUGGGAGGAACACCAGUGGCGAAGGCGGCCCCCUGGGUUAACACUGACGCUCAGGCACGAAAGCGUGGGGAGCAAACAGGG
rnacentral:rRNA from 1 species